rnacentral:rRNA from 1 species
GGGUUGUGAGGUUAAGCGACUAAGCGUACACGGUGGAUGCCCUGGCAGUCAGAGGCGAUGAAGGACGUGCUAAUCUGCGAAAAGCGUCGGUAAGGUGAUAUGAACCGUUACAGCCGGCGAUGUCCGAAUGGGGAAACCCAGUGCAAUUCGUUGCACUAUCGUUAACUGAAUACAUAGGUUAACGAGGCGAACCGGGGGAACUGAAACAUCUAAGUACCCCGAGGAAAAGAAAUCAACCGAGAUUCCCCCAGUAGCGGCGAGCGAACGGGGAGCAGCCCAGAGUCUGAAUCAGCUUGUGUGUUAGUGGAACGGUCUGGAAAGUCCGACGGUACAGGGUGAUAGUCCCGUACACCAAAAUGCACAGGUUGUGAACUCGAAGAGUAGGGCGGGACACGUGGUAUCCUGUCUGAAUAUGGGGGGACCAUCCUCCAAGGCUAAAUACUCCUGACUGACCGAUAGUGAACCAGUACCGUGAGGGAAAGGCGAAAAGAACCCCGGCGAGGGGAGUGAAAAAGAACCUGAAACCGUGUACGUACAAGCAGUGGGAGCACCUUCGGGUGUGACUGCGUACCUUUUGUAUAAUGGGUCAGCGACUUAUAUUCUGUAGCAAGGUUAACCGUAUAGGGGAGCCGCAGGGAAACCGAGUCUUAACUGGGCGUUAAGUUGCAGGGUAUAGACCCGAAACCCGGUGAUCUAGCCAUGGGCAGGUUGAAGGUUGGGUAACACUAACUGGAGGACCGAACCGACUAAUGUUGAAAAAUUAGCGGAUGACUUGUGGCUGGGGGUGAAAGGCCAAUCAAACCGGGAGAUAGCUGGUUCUCCCCGAAAGCUAUUUAGGUAGCGCCUCGUGAAUUCAUCUUCGGGGGUAGAGCACUGUUUCGGCUAGGGGGUCAUCCCGACUUACCAACCCGAUGCAAACUACGAAUACCGAAGAAUGUUAUCACGGGAGACACACGGCGGGUGCUAACGUCCGUCGUGAAGAGGGAAACAACCCAGACCGCCAGCUAAGGUCCCAAAGUCAUGGUUAAGUGGGAAACGAUGUGGGAAGGCACAGACAGCCAGGAUGUUGGCUUAGAAGCAGCCAUCAUUUAAAGAAAGCGUAAUAGCUCACUGGUCGAGUCGGCCUGCGCGGAAGAUGUAACGGGGCUAAACCAUGCACCGAAGCUGCGGCAGCGACACUAUGUGUUGUUGGGUAGGGGAGCGUUCUGUAAGCCUGCGAAGGUGUGCUGUGAGGCAUGCUGGAGGUAUCAGAAGUGCGAAUGCUGACAUAAGUAACGAUAAAGCGGGUGAAAAGCCCGCUCGCCGGAAGACCAAGGGUUCCUGUCCAACGUUAAUCGGGGCAGGGUGAGUCGACCCCUAAGGCGAGGCCGAAAGGCGUAGUCGAUGGGAAACAGGUUAAUAUUCCUGUACUUGGUGUUACUGCGAAGGGGGGACGGAGAAGGCUAUGUUAGCCGGGCGACGGUUGUCCCGGUUUAAGCAUGUAGGCUGGUUAUCCAGGCAAAUCCGGAUAAUCAAGGCUGAGGUGUGAUGACGAGGCACUACGGUGCUGAAGUAACAAAUGCCCUGCUUCCAGGAAAAGCCUCUAAGCAUCAGGUAACAUCAAAUCGUACCCCAAACCGACACAGGUGGUCAGGUAGAGAAUACCAAGGCGCUUGAGAGAACUCGGGUGAAGGAACUAGGCAAAAUGGUGCCGUAACUUCGGGAGAAGGCACGCUGGUGUGUAGGUGAAGCCCCUGCGGGUGGAGCUGAGACCAGUCGAAGAUACCAGCUGGCUGCAACUGUUUAUUAAAAACACAGCACUGUGCAAACACGAAAGUGGACGUAUACGGUGUGACGCCUGCCCGGUGCCGGAAGGUUAAUUGAUGGGGUUAUCCGUAAGGAGAAGCUCUUGAUCGAAGCCCCGGUAAACGGCGGCCGUAACUAUAACGGUCCUAAGGUAGCGAAAUUCCUUGUCGGGUAAGUUCCGACCUGCACGAAUGGCGUAAUGAUGGCCAGGCUGUCUCCACCCGAGACUCAGUGAAAUUGAACUCGCUGUGAAGAUGCAGUGUACCCGCGGCAAGACGGAAAGACCCCGUGAACCUUUACUAUAGCUUGACACUGAACAUUGAGCCUUGAUGUGUAGGAUAGGUGGGAGGCUUUGAAGCGUGGACGCCAGUCUGCGUGGAGCCAACCUUGAAAUACCACCCUUUAAUGUUUGAUGUUCUAACGUUGGCCCCUGACCGGGGUUGCGGACAGUGUCUGGUGGGUAGUUUGACUGGGGCGGUCUCCUCCUAAAGCGUAACGGAGGAGCACGAAGGUUAGCUAAUCCUGGUCGGACAUCAGGAGGUUAGUGCAAUGGCAUAAGCUAGCUUGACUGCGAGCGUGACGGCGCGAGCAGGUGCGAAAGCAGGUCAUAGUGAUCCGGUGGUUCUGAAUGGAAGGGCCAUCGCUCAACGGAUAAAAGGUACUCCGGGGAUAACAGGCUGAUACCGCCCAAGAGUUCAUAUCGACGGCGGUGUUUGGCACCUCGAUGUCGGCUCAUCACAUCCUGGGGCUGAAGUAGGUCCCAAGGGUAUGGCUGUUCGCCAUUUAAAGUGGUACGCGAGCUGGGUUUAGAACGUCGUGAGACAGUUCGGUCCCUAUCUGCCGUGGGCGCUGGAGAAUUGAGGGGGGCUGCUCCUAGUACGAGAGGACCGGAGUGGACGCAUCACUGGUGUUCGGGUUGUCAUGCCAAUGGCACUGCCCGGUAGCUAAAUGCGGAAGAGAUAAGUGCUGAAAGCAUCUAAGCACGAAACUUGCCCCGAGAUGAGUUCUCCCUGAGACUUUAAGUCUCCUGAAGGAACGUUAAAGACGAUGACGUUGAUAGGCCGGGUGUGUAAGCGCAGCGAUGCGUUGAGCUAACCGGUACUAAUGAACCGUGAGGCUUAACCUUACAACGCCGAAG